CAAGUCGAGGGGCAGCAUGAAGGUUUGCUUGCAAACCUUCGAUGGCGACCGGCGCACGGGUGAGUAACACGUAUCCAACCUGCCGACAACUCGGGGAUAGCCUUUCGAAAGAAAGAUUAAUACCCGAUGGCAUACCGCUUCCGCAUGUUUGCGGUAUUAAAGAAUUUCGGUUGUCGAUGGGGAUGCGUUCCAUUAGCUUGUUGGCGGGGUAACGGCCCACCAAGGCAUCGAUGGAUAGGGGUUCUGAGAGGAAGGUCCCCCACAUUGGAACUGAGACACGGUCCAAACUCCUACGGGAGGCAGCAGUGAGGAAUAUUGGUCAAUGGACGGAAGUCUGAACCAGCCAAGUAGCGUGAAGGAUGACUGCCCUAUGGGUUGUAAACUUCUUUUAUACGGGAAUAAAGUGGGAUAUGCAUAUCUUUUUGUAUGUACCGUAUGAAUAAGGAUCGGCUAACUCCGUGCCAGCAG
rnacentral:rRNA from 1 species